GCUCUCAGUCACCGCCUCGCGGGGGGUGCCUCCUUUCCUUUCUACAUAGACACAGUGACAGUCUGAUCUCUCUUUCUUUUCCCUACAGAUGGACACGCCCCCACUGAUAUUGUUUUUAAUGCAGCGUGGGAGGGGAGGAUAUGACACGCGAUAUCGCAGCUGAGUGCCACGUGCUGACGUCACUAAGAUCAAUACAGCAAACUCUGAAAGAUGGACAGAGAGACAGGAGAUGGUCCUUUAUAAUGCAGUGUGAUCUGUGCUGCAAUAGAGUUUUGGAAGCUAGAAGUUCAAAACGAGGUGUUGGCAGCACCAUGCUCUCUCUGAAGAUGCUAGGAAGAAUCUGCUCCAUGCCUUUCCAUUCGCUCCUGGGGUUUCCUGCAAGCCCUGACAUUCCUUGGCUUGUAGAUGCAUCACCCCAGUUUCCGCCCCCAUCAUCACAUGGCCUCCUCUCUGUGUGUGCCUCUGCGUUCCCUCUAUUCUUCUUCUAAGGACACCGACACCAGUCAUAGUGGAUUAAGGGUCCACUCCUAACCAAUUACAUCUGCAACAACCCUAUUUCCA
rnacentral:lncRNA from 1 species